AUCUACUUUAGUCAUCUCAUGCAAUUUUAGUUUAAGAUGUUGUCAUGUAAGCCAAGCUUUGCAUCAUGAAGGUGGUCUUUUGUAAAAGGUGCUAGUCAUGCUAUAUAGACUUUCGAUAGAACAAAAUAAUAAAGUAUUUUAGCUUGUAAAGAGUGUGCUAUUAAAAAUAUUUAUGAUAGGUUCAAUUUAUACUUUUUCAUUAAAUCAUUGAGAAGUUAUCUAUGGUUAAAAAAAUCUCUUUAUUCAUGAGAAUUGAAUAUUUUGGUGAUGGGCUUUUCUUUCUUAUUUAUUUUUAUUUUUUUACUUUUUGCCUUGUAACGUGAUAAGUAGUGUUGGACUUCGCUGUAUAGGAUAUCAGAUCAAACUAAAUUGAGAAUUUGUGCUGUACAUAGAUCUAUGUCCUUAAUAUCAGUGUUUUAAGAUGCAUCAUAGGCGCUAGGUAACUUGAGGGUACUGAAUCAAUGAUUUAAGAGCCAUGCCUAGGUAGGUAUACUGCUUCAUACCACCUUACCACGACCUGUCUUUUCAGCUCAUUACCUGCAACAUUUUGACCUGCAAUCAGGCUGUUUGCAUCAUGUCUCCUGUGUAGGCUGUCAUUUAUCAUCUUACGUCCUUCACUGUCCGUCUGCUCGCCCCAUCUUCUGUUUGUCAAUACAGGGUCUUUGACGGACUUUGUUGUUUGUUAUCUCGCUACUUCUUUGUUGGUUGGUUCAUUUAUGUUUUAUAGUUUUGUUCCUUAUUUCCUUUCACUCUUCUUGGAGUUCGUAUCUUUCAAACAUCCGUCUCUUUUCAUAUGUUCGAUAAAAAAUUCUAUUUCUUGUUUUAAAAAGAUCUCUGCCUUCUCAUGCCCCUAAUAACAUUAUAGCUCCCCAGUUCUAGCAGAUUGAAAUCCUCCACCACAUUCAUUAUUGAAGGCAUACAUCCAAAUCAGACUCCUGGCUUUGUAGUUUGGAAUCAUGACUCCUCUGGUAUUUUUCUGUGAAUUCAGCCAUCUGGACUCCUCACACAAGGCUUCAUAUCUAAAUUCUUCCCCAGCUAAACGAAUUUGUAAAGGACACAGCCACUUAAGGAGAUGCUUUAUAGUGGAGUCACUUAACAGCUAUUCUAUCAAAUAAUCAGGUGGUUGAAUCUUCAUGGAAGGAUGCAAAGAUUCAACCUUUGUAGCCUUAAUGAGCAUGCUGAGAAUGUGAUAGAAAUCUCCAAUCCAAAUUGAGUGUUGGAACAUUGACCAAAUCAACGGGACAUCUACCCAUAUUUUUAUUGCUUCGAAACCCUAAUUUUAUUUCAUACGUAUCUUAUUUUUAAACACCUAAUGCCCUCUCUAUAGAUUGUAAUGCAGUGGUCGUAAUAUUCU